GGUGUGGCUCAGUGGUAAAGUGUGUACUUUGCAUGCAUGAGGCCCUGGAUUCAAUCCCCAGAACCA
rnacentral:tRNA from 1 species